rnacentral:rRNA from 1 species
AGUGAACGCUGGCGGUGGGCCUAACACAUGCAAGUCGAACGGCAGCACAGUAAGAGCUUGCUCUUACGGGCGGCGAGUGGCGGACGGGUGAGGAAUACAUCGGAAUCUACUUUUUCGUGGGGGAUAACGUAGGGAAACUCACGCUAAUACCGCAUACGACCUACGGGUGAAAGCAGGCGUUCUUCGGACCUUGCGCGACUGAAUGAGCCGAUGUCGGAUUAGCUAGUUGGCGGGGUAAAGGCCCACCAAGCCGACCAUCCGUAGCUGGUCUGAGAGGAUGAUCAGCCACACUGGAACUGAGACACGGUCCAGACUCCUACGGGAGGCAGCAGUGGGGAAUAUUGGACAAUGGGCGCAAGCCUGAUCCAGCCAUACCGCGUGGGUGAAGAAGGCCUUCGGGUUGUAAAGCCCUUUUGUUGGGAAAGAAAAGCAGCAGGUUAAUACCCCGCUGUUCUGACGGUACCCAAAGAAUAAGCACCGGCUAACUUCGUG